CCCUUAGAUGUUCUGGGCCGCACGCGCGCUACAAUGAUGAAUUCAACGAGUUUAUAACCUUGGUUGAAAAGCCUGGGUAAUCUUUUGAACUUUCGUCGUGAUGGGGCUAGACCCUUGCAAUUAUUGGUCUCCAACGAGGAAUUCCUAGUAAACGCAGAUCAUCAAUCUGCAUUGAUUACGUCCCUGCCCUUUGUACACACCGCCCGUCGCACCUACCGAUUGGAUGGUCCGGUGAAGCCUCGGGAUUGUGGUUCUUGCCGCUUUAUUGUGGCGUGACCGCGAGAACUUGUCUAAACCUUAUCAUCUAGAGGAAGGUGAAGUCGUAACA
rnacentral:rRNA from 1 species